rnacentral:rRNA from 1 species
UGGGGAAUAUUGGACAAUGGGCGCAAGCCUGACCCAGCAACGCCGCGUGAAGGAUGAAGUCUCUCGGGAUGUAAACUUCGUAAGAAUAGGAAGAAUAAAUGACGGUACUAUUUGUAAGGUCCGGCUAACUACGUGCCAGCAGCCGCGGUAAUACGUAGGGACCAAGCGUUGUUCGGAUUUACUGGGCGUAAAGGGCGCGUAGGCGGCGUGGUAAGUCACUUGUGAAAUCUCCGAGCUUAACUCGGAACGGUCAAGUGAUACUGCUGUGCUAGAGUACAGAAGGGGCAAUCGGAAUUCUUGGUGUAGCGGUGAAAUGCGUAGAUAUCAAGAGGAACACCUGAGGUGAAGACGGGUUGCUGGGCUGAUACUGACGCUGAGGCGCGAAAGCUAGGGUAGCAAACGGGAUUAGAUACCCGAGUAGUCCCUGAGCGGGCUGGCAAGGCGCAU